UACGUAAGGUCCGAGCGUUGUCCGGAAUCAUUGGGCGUAAAGGGUACGUAGGCGGAUAAGCAAGUUAGAAGUGAAAUCCUAUAGCUCAACUAUAGUAAGCUUUUAAAACUGCUCAUCUUGAGGUAUGGAAGGGAAAGUGGAAUUCCUAGUGUAGCGGUGAAAUGCGCAGAUAUUAGGAGGAAUACCGGUGGCGAAGGCGACUUUCUGGCCAUAAACUGACGCUGAGGUACG
rnacentral:rRNA from 1 species